rnacentral:rRNA from 1 species
UACGUAGGGUGCAAGCGUUGUCCGGAAUUAUUGGGCGUAAAGAGCUCGUAGGCGGUUUGUUGCGUCGGCUGUGAAAUCCCGAGGCUCAACCUCGGGCCUGCAGUCGAUACGGGCAGACUAGAGUGUUGCAGGGGAGACUGGAAUUCCUGGUGUAGCGGUGAAAUGCGCAGAUAUCAGGAGGAACACCGGUGGCGAAGGCGGGUCUCUGGGCAACAACUGACGCUGAGGAGCGAAAGCGUGGGGAGCGAACAGG